rnacentral:rRNA from 1 species
UACGGAGGAUUCAAGCGUUAUCCGGAUUUAUUGGGUUUAAAGGGUGCGUAGGCGGAAUAUCAAGUCAGCGGUAAAAAUUCGGGGCUCAACCCCGUCGUGCCGUUGAAACUGAUGUUCUUGAGUGGGCGAGAAGUAAGCGGAAUGCGUGGUGUAGCGGUGAAAUGCAUAGAUAUCACGCAGAACGCCGAUUGCGAAGGCAGCUUACCGGCGCUCAACUGACGCUGAGGCACGAAAGUGCGGGUAUCGAACAGG